GAUGAACGCUGACAGAAUGCUUAACACAUGCAAGUCUACUUGAUCCUUCGGGUGAUGGUGGCGGACGGGUGAGUAACGCGUAAAGAACUUGCCUUGCAGUCUGGGACAACGUCUGGAAACGGACGCUAAUACCGGAUAUUAUGAUUGAAUCGCAUGAUUUGAUUAUGAAAGCUAUAUGCGCUGCGAGAGAGCUUUGCGUCCCAUUAGUUAGUUGGUGAGGUAACGGCUCACCAAGACGAUGAUGGGUAGCCGGCCUGAGAGGGUGAACGGCCACAAGGGGACUGAGACACGGCCCUUACUCCUACGGGAGGCAGCAGUGGGGAAUAUUGGACAAUGGACCAAAAGUCUGAUCCAGCAAUUCUGUGUGCACGAUGAAGUUUUUCGGAAUGUAAAGUGCUUUCAGUUGGGACGAAGUAAGUGACGGUACCAACAGAAGAAGCGACGGCUAAAUACGUGCCAGCAGCCGCGGUAAUACGGAGGAUGCGAGCGUUAUCCGGAUUUAUUGGGUUUAAAGGGAGCGUAGACGGGUUUUUAAGUCAGCUGUGAAAGUUUGGGGCUCAACCUUAAAAUAGCAGUUGAAACUGGAGACCUUGAGUACGGUUGAGGCAGGCGGAAUUCGUGGUGUAGCGGUGAAAUGCUUAGAUAUCACGAAGAACCCCGAUUGCGAAGGCAGCCUGCUAAGCCGCCACUGACGUUGAGGCUCGAAAGUGCGGGUAUCAAACAGG
rnacentral:rRNA from 1 species